CAACAGUUUAGGGCUCUAAAACUCCCUCUCCUUUGCAGAAGUUGCAUUUGGCACUGCAGAGGGGUGAGAAUAGUCUCCGCGGCCCGCCCCAGGUGGAGCCUGUUGCCUACUGGAGCUGCAGUGUGAGAUGGAUCCUGCCUGGCUGCCUGUGACCCGAGUGUCCCCUUGGUCCAGAGAACCCAGACAACCUUGCCUUGCAAGUGGUGGUGCCCGUGAGAGCUCUGACUCGCCUCUCUUCCGGCCCAAGUUCUGAGGCGGUCUCAUGUGGGCAGGAGACAGGAGGUCUGCUGCUCCUUUAUCCAGGUGGAAGGAAAGACAUCUUCUGUGCAAGUGCGUGUGCCAGAAGAUGGAGAAGUGGUGGAUGUUCCACGAAACAGCUUUUGUGCAGUCUCUGAGAACUUGGCUACAGAAACAUCGCCAGGAAGAAGCAGAACACGGGAGCAGAGAGGGAAAGAGUCCUCCUCACGUGCGUCACUUGCGGCACAGGCGAGCCUCUUCUGGUUCUUCAGAUGAGAAAACCAGGAUAUAAAUUAAGAAUAACAUACCUGUGAUGAUGCAGCUGUGAAGGCCGAGCUGGAUCUGAGGCUGCUGACUUUGCUCUCCCUUUCCUCCUGCCAUUCCAUACGCCAGGAAAGGUGAAGCCGUUGGCUGAGCAUAGGAGAAUUCAGGUCCUCUUCCAAAAGGCUAUGCUUUUCACAAAUUAAAAC
ensembl:lncRNA